rnacentral:tRNA from 1 species
AGCGAUUUAGGUUAACUAAACCAGGAGCCUUCAAAGCUCCCAAUAGGAGUUAAAAUCCCCUAAUCCCUG